rnacentral:rRNA from 1 species
CAGCACCUCAAGUGGUCAGGAUGAUUAUUGGGCCUAAAGCAUCCGUAGCCGGCUCUGUAAGUUUUCGGUUAAAUCUGUACGCUUAACGUACAGGCUGCCGGGAAUACUGCAAAGCUAGGGAGUGGGAGAGGUAGACGGUACUCGGUAGGAAGGGGUAAAAUCCUUUGAUCUAUUGAUGACCACCUGUGGCGAAGGCGGUCUACCAGAACACGUCCGACGGUGAGGGAUGAAAGCUGGGGGAGCAAACCGGAUUAGAGACCCGAGUAGUCC